rnacentral:rRNA from 1 species
AGCAGUAGCCGCGGUAAUACGAAGGGUGCAAGCGUUACUCGGAAUUACUGGGCGUAAAGCGUGCGUAGGCGGUUUGUUAAGUCUGCUGUGAAAUCCCCGGGCUCAACCUGGGAAUGGCAGUGGAUACUGGCAAGCUAGAGUGUGUCAGAGGAUGGUGGAAUUCCCGGUGUAGCGGUGAAAUGCGUAGAGAUCUGGAGGAAUACCGGUGGCGAAGGCGGCCCCCUGGACAAAGACUGACGCUCAGGUGCGAAAGCGUGGGGAGCAAACAGGAUUAGAUACCCGCGUAGUCCCUGUCUCUUAUAC